UUCCAUUCUGUGAUCAGGAAAGAACACAGACAUCCCACUAUGGAGUUUGUGCUUGGCUGGGUUUUCCUUGUUGCUGUUCUAAAAGGUGUCCAGUGUGAAGUGCAGCUGGUGGAGUCUGGGGGAGGCCUGGCGAAGCCUGGGGGCUCCCUGCGACUCUCCUGUGCAGCCUCCGGAUUCAACUUUGGAAGCUACCACAUGAGCGGGGUCCGCCAGGCUCCAGAGAAGGGGCUGGAGUGGAUUUCAUAUAUUAGUGAUGGUGAAAGUAGCACAAGCUAUGCGGACUCCAUGAAGGGCCGAUUCACCAUCUCCAGAGACAACGCCAAGAACACGCUCUCUCUGCAGAUGAACAACCUGAGAGUCGAGGACACGGCCAUGUAUUUCUGUGCGAGAGACACAGGUCCACACAGAGGAGAAAUCUGUUACGUUUGUGAGGAGUGUGGCAAGGGCUUCCAUCAGAGCUCCAACCUUUGCAUCCAUCAGAGCGUCCACACCGGAGAGAAACUACAGAUGUGA